rnacentral:rRNA from 1 species
UACGAAGGGUGCAAACGUUGCUCGGAAUCAUUGGGCGUAAAGCGCACGUAGGCGGCUUCGCAAGUCGGAUGUGAAAUCCCUCGGCUCAACCGAGGACGUGCAUCCGAAACUGCGGAGCUUGAGUAUGGAAGAGGGUCGCGGAAUUCCCGGUGUAGAGGUGAAAUGCGUAGAUAUCGGAAGGAACAUCAGUGGCGAAAGCGGCUUCCUGGACCAGCACCGACGUUCAGGCACGAAAGCGUGGGGAGCAAACAGG